GCCAAUGUAGCUCAGUUGGUAGAGCAGCUGUUUCGUAAACAGCAGGUCAGGGGUUCGAGCCCCCUCAUUGGCUCCA
rnacentral:tRNA from 2 species